rnacentral:rRNA from 1 species
GACGAACGCUGGCGGCGUGCUUAACACAUGCAAGUCGAACGGAAAGGCCCUGCUUUUGUGGGGUGCUCGAGUGGCGAACGGGUGAGUAACACGUGAGUAACCUGCCCUUGACUUUGGGAUAACUUCAGGAAACUGGGGCUAAUACCGGAUAGGAGCUCCUGCUGCAUGGUGGGGGUUGGAAAGUUUCGGCGGUUGGGGAUGGACUCGCGGCUUAUCAGCUUGUUGGUGGGGUAGUGGCUUACCAAGGCUUUGACGGGUAGCCGGCCUGAGAGGGUGACCGGCCACAUUGGGACUGAGAUACGGCCCAGACUCCUACGGGAGGCAGCAGUGGGGAAUAUUGCACAAUGGGCGGAAGCCUGAUGCAGCAACGCCGCGUGCGGGAUGAAGGCCUUCGGGUUGUAAACCGCUUUCGCCUGUGACGAAGCGUGGGUGACGGUAAUGGGUAAAGAAGCACCGGCUAACUACGUG